UGAGUAACCAUCCAGUUGGCCCAGUAUU
rnacentral:piRNA from 1 species